UACGUAGGGGGCUAGCGUUGUCCGGAAUCAUUGGGCGUAAAGCGCGCGUAGGCGGCCCGGUAAGUCCGCUGUAAAAGUCAAAGGCUCAACCUUUGAAUGUCAGUGGAUACUGCCGGGCUAGAGUCCGGAAGAGGCGAGUGGAACUCCUGGUGUAGCGGUGGAAUGCGCAGAUAUCAGGAAGAACACCGGUGGCUAAGGCGGCUCUCUAGUACGGUACUGACGCUGAGACGCGAAAGCGUGGGGAGCGAACAGG
rnacentral:rRNA from 1 species